rnacentral:rRNA from 1 species
GUACCAGACUCCUACGGGAGGCAGCAGUGAGGAAUAUUGGUCAAUGGGCGGGAGCCUGAACCAGCCAAGUCGCGUGAGGGAAGACGGUCCUAUGGAUUGUAAACCUCUUUAGGCGGGGAGCAAUGCCGGGCACGCGUGCCCGGAGGGAGAGUACCCGCAGAAUAAGCAUCGGCUAACUCCGUGCCAGCAGCCGCGGUAAUACGGAGGAUGCGAGCGUUAUCCGGAUUUAUUGGGUUUAAAGGGAGCGUAGAUGGGUUGUUAAGUCAGUUGUGAAAGUUUGCGGCUCAACCGUAAAAUUGCAAUUGAUACUGGCAGCCUUGAGUACAGUUGAGGUAGGCGGAAUUCGUGGUGUAGCGGUGAAAUGCUUAGAUAUCACGCAGAACUCCGAUUGCGAAGGCAGCAUACCGGCGCGCAACUGACGCUAAUGCACGAAAGCGUGGGUAUCGAACAGGAUUAGAUACCCCUGUA